rnacentral:pre_miRNA from 17 species
GGCAGCUUGGCCCUCUGACUCUCUUCGGUGACGGGUAUUCUUGGGUGGAUAAUACGGAUUACGUUGUUAUUGCUUAAGAAUACGCGUAGUCGAGGAGAGUACCAGCGGCAGGCGGGCAGC